rnacentral:rRNA from 1 species
AGAGUUUGAUCCUGGCUCAGAGCGAACGCUGGCGGCGUGCUUAACACAUGCAAGUCGAACGCGCAGCAUUCUGUAGCAAUACAGGGUGUGGGCGCGUGGCGAACGGGUGCGUAACACGUGGAUAACCUUCCUUCAGGUGGGGAAUAACCCAGUGAAAAUUGGGCUAAUACCGCAUAACAUGACGAUGGCACAUGCUGUUGUCUUCAAAGGCGCAAGUCGCCAGAAGAGGGAUCCGCGGCCGAUUAGCUUGUUGGCGAGGUAAUGGCUCACCAAGGCAUUGAUCGGUAGCCGGACUGAGAGGUUGGCCGGCCACACUGGAACUGAGACACGGUCCAGACUCCUACGGGAGGCAGCAGUGGGGAAUCUUGCACAAUGGACGAAAGUCUGAUGCAGCAACGCCGCGUGGGGGAUGAAGCUUUUCGGAGUGUAAACCCCUUUCGACCCGGAAGAAUGCCCGCAAGGGUUUGACGGUACGGGUAUAAGAAGCCCCGGCUAACUACGUGCCAGCAGCCGCGGUAAUACGUAGGGGGCCAGCGUUGCUCGGAAUUACUGGGCGUAAAGGGUCCGUAGGCGGUGCGGCAAGUCGAGAGUGAAAUCCCUAGGCUUAACCUAGGGGCUGCUAGCGAAACUGCCGUGCUAGAGUGUGAGAGAGGCGAGUGGAAUUACGGGUGUAGCGGUGAAAUGCGUAGAUAUCCGUAGGAACAUCCGAGGCGAAAGCGGCUCGCUGGAUCACAACUGACGCUGAGGGACGAAAGCUAGGGGAGCAAACAG